rnacentral:lncRNA from 10 species
UGAGCAGAUUGAUGUAUCUGUUUAGACUGGUUGCCUUUAGGGCUCUCUGGGAACCUGGUCUGACUUUCUAGUGCCCAGGCAGGCACUGCCCCAGAUCACUGCAUAUAUAGCCUCAACACUGUGUCUGGCAUCCAUGGACAAUUCAUUUUGCUCAAUUGAACUGAAUGCUCAAGAUCCUCAAGAAAGGAAGAAGAGAAAUUACAUUUACAAAGCACCUAUUGUGUGCCAAUCACUAUAGUAGGCCACUUUAUGUUUUAUUAAACUAAAUCCCUUGAGCUAGAGUCAGCUGCAAGGGAAGAUGAUGACCACUAUUUUACUGAUGAAGAAACUAGACUCCCUCCCUCAGAGGUUGAGGAGUGUGCUAGAAGUCACACAACCACCAAAUGGCAAUAUUAAAUUCAAACCUGGUGACUCCAAAGGCUAUACUCUCCACAUCAUAACAGAGCCUCCAAGUCUGGUUGUAAGAAAGCAUCAGAUAGCAGGCAUCCAUUUCUUCAUGCGUUCUUCAGUUCAUGUAGAUUUUGUACCAUAGAAAAAAAGGCUUUACCCACUCAAACAU